AAAAAGGCAAAACCUGGGUUUCCAUGUCCAACUUUAACUGUCCGUUUUAUAUAAAAAAUUUUUAUAAUUCGUAUUUUCAUUGUUGUUAGAUGAUAAAACAUGAUUAGUAUUUUAUGCGUGACUUGUCUUUUUAAUAUUUUUUAUAAUUUUUUUAAAUAAGACGGACGGUAAAACUCUAGACACAGAAACCAUGGUUUGUCUUUUU
rfam:Oryza sativa Japonica Group DNA, chromosome 8, cultivar: Nipponbare, complete sequence.